rnacentral:tRNA from 1 species
CGGAAUGUAGCGCAGCCUGGUAGCGCACCUGCUUCGGGAGCAGGGGGUCGGAGGUUCGAAUCCUCUCAUUCCGA